AUAUUUUUCCUUUGCUUAUUCUUCAUAGCCUGCUUCCUUGUUCUUGCUUUUGUUCAUCCUUUCCCCUUUCCCUCCCUCCCCAUAACAAUUAGGUAAUUACUGCUGCUUAUCAACUUGCAGAGCUGAAGAAUGCUGAAAGCACAACUGAUCUAUUAAUGCUUCCCCAAGUCAGCUAAUCCUGAGAAAAUCCAUUGAAGAGGAAAAGACAGAGUAGCUGCACAGUGUCAUGAAACUGGAAGUAUCCUAUAUUGUCUGUCUUUUGUGGAAGCUAUGGAUCUGAUCCUGAAUGGAAUUCUCUGGAGAUUAUACAGUGCUGUCACUAGGGGCUUAUGAUUACCACCAAGUCCUGGCUUCUUGUUGCAAUCUUGAGUUUUUUGGCAAAUGUGGAAGCCCUA